ACGUAGGUGGCAAGCGUUGUCCGGAUUUAUUGGGUUUAAAGGGUGCGUAGGUUGUUUUGUAAGUCAGUGGUGAAAUCCGGCAGCUUAACUGUCGAUGUGCCAUUGAUACUGCGGAACUUGAGUACAGACGAGGUAGGCGGAAUUGACGGUGUAGCGGUGAAAUGCUUAGAUAUCGUCAAGAACACCGAUAGCGAAGGCAGCUUACUAGACUGAAACUGACACUGAGGCACGAAAGUGUGGGGAUCAAACAGGA
rnacentral:rRNA from 1 species